UUUUUUUUGUCUUUUUAGGGCUGCACUCUUGGCAUAUGGCAGUUCUCUGGCUAGGGGUUGAAUCAGAGCUAAAGCUGCUGGCUUACGCCACAGCCACAGCAACAUGGGAUCCAAUUCACAUCUGUGACCUACACCACAGCUCACGGCAAUGCUGGAUCCUUAACCCACUGAACGAGGCCAGGGAUGGAACCCACAUCCUCAUGCAUACUAGCCAGGUUCAUUACCGCUGAGCCCUGAUGCGAACUCCAGCAAUAAAUAUUUUUAAUUAAAGUAUGUACACUGUUGCUUAGACAUAAUGCUAUGACACACCUAACAGACAACAGUAUAGUGUAAACAGAACUUUCAUAUGCACUGGGAAACCAGAAAAUUCACAUGACUCUCUUUACUGCAAUAUUCACUUUAUUAUGGGGAUCUGGAACUGAACCUGCUGUAUCUCUGAGGUCUGCUUGUAUUUGUGUCUUUUUUGUUUCUGUCUCCAAAGAGAAAUGGACAGAAAAUGAAUCAGUAACUGAGAGCAUCAUAGAAUGUUAGAACUGAAAAGAAGCUCUAGAAAUUUUCUGGGGAAAGAAAAUAAAUCUGUGACAUCUGUUCUUAUACGCCAGACACAGUUUAGGCACAAGGUUAUGAGCCACUUCAUUUGUCACAGAAUCUCCUAGAGGGAUGCUAAGUAUCAUUAGCCUCCUAAAGAGUCCUUCAAAAAUGACUCAAGGUCAGACAUCCAGCUGACGGCAUGUGCAUGAUUAGAAUCUAAGCCUGGGAUCUGCCCAGUCUCUUGACCCUUCAGGCUCUUUCUGAUCCCAGGACACUGCUUUUUCCUCCCCUUGACGUUUUUUGGGCUUAUUAAAGAAGAAUGGUAUAUGUAUCCUGGGAGAGUUAUGGAUCUUUGUUGUGCUCUGGUCUGAAGGUUUGGGUCCCCCCAGAGUUGAUAGGUUGAAAUUCUAACUCCUGCUAUGAUGGAAGUAGUGGAGCUUUUAGAAGAGGCUAAAGGCAUGGGGUGGAGCCUUUGUGAAUGGAGUUGAUGUCCUGGUAAAAGACCCCAGAGAGCUUCCUUGCCACGUCCACCACAGCAGCAGGACAUGGUGAGAAGGCGCUGGUUAUGAGCUGGGAAGAGGGCCCUCACCAGAAAACCACCGUGCUGGCACCUGAUCUUGGACUUCCAGCCUCCAGAACUAUGAGAAGUUAGUAUCUGUCAUUUUAAGGUUCCCAGUCUGCAGUAUUUUGCCGUAGCAGCCCGGACUAAGACAGGGUGCAAGCGACAAAACCCAACUUUGUGCUACCUGAGCAACAGGGUAAUUUGUUACGCAGAUGCAGGGCACUCACAUAUUCAAAAAGAUGGUUUAAGAACCAGACUUGAACACAAAGACGCCAGAUAACUCGAGGGGUCUCCACAGCAGAGCAACACAGACUUCAGGGCCCCAGGAUGAAAUGAAUGAGGGUGGUUGUUUCUCUUACUUUUCUCUUCUUCUCUGUCAACUCCCCUCCCGUGACCACUCAGCCUGAGCCAGCCAAGCCUGGCACCCCAACUGAGUGUCCCCUUACCUCAGGGCACAGUCAGGGGGUUUGGUGAGCCUGCACCACUAACCAACCCAGCAUUAGUACUGCUAAGCCAUUUUGUUUGUUUGUUUGGUUGGUCAUUUUAGGGCCGCACCCAUGGCACAUGGACGUUCCCAGGCUAGGGGCUGAAUCAGAGCGGCAGCUGCUGGCCUACACCACAGCCACAGCCACCACACAGGAUCCAAGCCAUGUCUGUGAUCUACACCACUGCUCAAGGCAGCACUGGAUCCUUACCCACUGAGCGAGGCCAGGGAUCGAACCUAAGUACUAGUUGGGUUCCUUACUGCUGAGCCAUGAUAGGAACUCCCUAUUUCUUUUUUCUUUUUUUUUUAAUGGAGAAAAAUGUAGACAAACCAAGGAUCAUCAUUUUAGAAGAAUUCAAGGACAAAAUAUCCUUUCCUUCACAGUGUAAUAAAUACGGUUGGCACAACCUGUUCUAGGUAGAUACUGGUUAUUCACCUUGUGAAAUUUCUGUCUUUGGAAAUGAUACUCAGUGGAAAGAGUCUUCGCAUCAAACAGGUUUGGUUUCAAAUCCCAUAUUCUAUGUCUGAUGAUCUGUGAGGGCUUGGACAAGCAUUUGUUCUUUCUCUGCAAUCUGUAAAAUGGGUAUAUUUUCCUCGAUCGCCCUUUCACAAAGAGCAGUAAUAAGGAUCACUUGAUAUUAUUACAUACGAGCGUCUAGCUUUUCUUUCCUCCAAGGCCUUGAGGUCUCAUGGCAGGUCGGAUAAACAAAUUAUACAUUUUCUAUAGGCACUGUCUUUUCCCCAACCCCCUAACCCACUCCUCCUAAGGGACCCACUGUCUAUUCCCAGAGCAUGUCCACAGGGAAGUUCCGACACUCAAGCACAGCAAAGUAUAAAGAAUGAAAAGGCAGGCACUUCUCCCAGGACAGUGAACUGGCAGAUGCACUCCAUCUGGGUCAAAAUGUGGAAGGUCGGAUAUAAACUGGUGGUCAGGGCACUGAUACUGUCAAGGCAGAUAAUGCAGCCAACAUCAGGAGGCUCUAGGAACAGUGUGGAGGCUGCAAGCACCAAGACCGCAGGUGAGGCAGGCACGUCCAUCCUGAAAGGCAAGGGCUAAGUGACUUGCCAGGACUGAAGGAACAAGUCACCAAAGUAGAGCGGAGGGACAUCCACAUGGCCCUGCGUUUGCAUUCUCGCUCCAUACUGACCAGCUAUGGGAACUUGGGCCCGUGAAUGCUGGUCUCUCGGCAUCUAUAAAACUGCCUUCUCCUUACUCAUAGGUCCUUCGCGAGGAUUAAAUGUGCUGAGAGCUAGGCUGGGUUUGAUCCACGCGGGGCUGCUGGGCUACUCGGUCACACAGCUCUUCUUCCAUCCUCGGGGUGGGCAUGGGCUCCCCGGGCCCCGAGCUCUACCUUGGCGGGUGCAGCUGGAUUAGGUCUUCAGUGCGGGGCUGGCGCCCACAUCUCCCCCUCCUCCACUGCCCCUCCCCAGCCUGCCCAAGAAGGAGGGGGCGGUGCAGGAGGAGGUUUUUUUCUCCUCUCUCAGGCUGAGAAGCCUGCAUGCCCCCCUCUGGCCCUCUGCCCACCGCCCACCCAUCCCUGCGGGCCCCGGGGAGUUUCCCUCCGCAGCGGAGCCGUCUGGGGAUAGGCUGCCUGAGUGAAAAGUAGGCCGCCGAGGAAGAGAGGCUUGACAGGAGGUCCAAAUAAGCACUUCCUCCC
ensembl:lncRNA